AUUGAACGCUGGCGGCAGGCCUAACACAUGCAAGUCGAACGGUAACAGGAAGAAGCUUGCUUCUUUGCUGACGAGUGGCGGACGGGUGAGUAAUGUCUGGGAAACUGCCUGAUGGAGGGGGAUAACUACUGGAAACGGUAGCUAAUACCGCAUAACGUCGCAAGACCAAAGAGGGGGACCUUCGGGCCUCUUGCCAUCGGAUGUGCCCAGAUGGAUUAGCUAGUAGGUGGGGUAACGGCUCACCUAGGCGACGAUCCCUAGCUGGUCUGAGAGGAUGACCAGCCACACUGGAACUGAGACACGGUCCAGACUCCUACGGGAGGCAGCAGUGGGGAAUAUUGCACAAGGGGCGCAAGCCUGAUGCAGCCAUGCCGCGUGUAUGAAGAAGGCCUUCGGGUUGUAAAGUACUUUCAGCGGGGAGGAAGGGAGUAAAGUUAAUACCUUUGCUCAUUGACGUUACCCGCAGAAGAAGCACCGGCUAACUCCG
rnacentral:rRNA from 1 species